rnacentral:rRNA from 1 species
GAUGAACGCUGGCGGCGUGCCUAAUACAUGCAAGUAGAACGCUGAAGGAAGGAGCUUGCUCUUUCCGGAUGAGUUGCGAACGGGUGAGUAACGCAUAGGUAACCUGCCUGGUAGCGGGGGAUAACUAUUGGAAACGAUAGCUAAUACCGCAUAACAGUAGAUAUUGCAUGAUAUCUGCUUGAAAGGGGCAAUUGCUCCACUACCAGAUGGACCUGCGUUGUAUUAGCUAGUUGGUGAGGUAACGGCUCACCAAGGCGACGAUACAUAGCCGACCUGAGAGGGUGAUCGGCCACACUGGGACUGAGACACGGCCCAGACUCCUACGGGAGGCAGCAGUAGGGAAUCUUCGGCAAUGGACGGAAGUCUGACCGAGCAACGCCGCGUGAGUGAAGAAGGUUUUCGGAUCGUAAAGCUCUGUUGUAAGAGAAGAACGAGUGUGAGAGUGGAAAGUUCACACUGUGACGGUAUCUUACCAGAAAGGGACGGCUAACUACGUGCCAGCAGCCGCGGUAAUACGUAGGUCCCGAGCGUUAUCCGGAUUUAUUGGGCGUAAAGCGAGCGCAGGCGGUUAGAUAAGUCUGAAGUUAAAGGCUGUGGCUUAACCAUAGUACGCUUUGGAAACUGUUUAACUUGAGUGCGAGAGGGGAGAGUGGAAUUCCAUGUGUAGCGGUGAAAUGCGUAGAUAUAUGGAGGAACACCGGUGGCGAAAGCGGCUCUCUGGCUUGUAACUGACGCUGAGGCUCGAAAGCGUGGGGAGCAAACAGG